GCAGCACGCCGCGUGCGGGAUGAAGGCCUUCGGGCUGUAAACCGCUUUCAGCAGGAACGAAAAUGACGGUACCUGCAGAAGAAGGAGCGGCCAACUACGUGCCAGCAGCCGCGGUGACACGUAGGCUCCAAGCGUUGUCCGGAUUUAUUGGGCGUAAAGAGCUCGUAGGCGGUUGAGUAAGUCGGGUGUGAAAACUCUGGGCUUAACCCGGAGACGCCAUCCGAUACUGCUCUGACUAGAGUUCAGGAGGGGAGUGGGGAAUUCCUAGUGUAGCGGUGAAAUGCGCAGAUAUUAGGAGGAACACCGGUGGCGAAGGCGCCACUCUGGACUGAAACUGACGCUGAGGAGCGAAAGCAUGGGUAGCAAACAGGAUUAGAUACCCUGGUAGUCCAUGCCGUAAACGGUGGGCACUAGGUGUGGGUUCCAACUAACGGGAUCCGCGCCGUCGCUAACGCAUUAAGUGCCCCGCCUGGGGAGUACGGUCGCAAGACUA
rnacentral:rRNA from 1 species